rnacentral:rRNA from 1 species
CUACCUAUAAGACUGGGAUAACUUCGGGAAACCGGAGCUAAUACCGGAUAAUAUUUUGAACCGCAUGGUUCAAAAGUGAAAGACGGUCUUGCUGUCACUUAUAGAUGGAUCCGCGCUGCAUUAGCUAGUUGGUAAGGUAACGGCUUACCAAGGCAACGAUGCAUAGCCGACCUGAGAGGGUGAUCGGCCACACUGGAACUGAGACACGGUCCAGACUCCUACGGGAGGCAGCAGUAGGGAAUCUUCCGCAAUGGGCGAAAGCCUGACGGAGCAACGCCGCGUGAGUGAUGAAGGUCUUCGGAUCGUAAAACUCUGUUAUUAGGGAAGAACAUAUGUGUAAGUAACUGUGCACAUCUUGACGGUACCUAAUCAGAAAGCCACGGCUAACUACGUGCCAGCAGCCGCGGUAAUACGUAGGUGGCAAGCGUUAUCCGGAAUUAUUGGGCGUAAAGCGCGCGUAGGCGGUUUUUUAAGUCUGAUGUGAAAGCCCACGGCUCAACCGUGGAGGGUCAUUGGAAACUGGAAAACUUGAGUGCAGAAGAGGAAAGUGGAAUUCCAUGUGUAGCGGUGAAAUGCGCAGAGAUAUGGAGGAACACCAGUGGCGAAGGCGACUUUCUGGUCUGUAACUGACGCUGAUGUGCGAAAGCGUGGGGAUCAAACAGGAUUAGAUACCCUGGUAGUCCACGCCGUAAACGAUGAGUGCUAAGUGUUAGGGGGUUUCCGCCCCUUAGUGCUGCAGCUAACGCAUUAAGCACUCCGCCUGGGGAGUACGACCGCAAGGUUGAAACUCAAAGGAAUUGACGGGGACCCGCACAAGCGGUGGAGCAUGUGGUUUAAUUCGAAGCAACGCGAAGAACCUUACCAAAUCUUGACAUCCUUUGACAACUCUAGAGAUAGAGCCUUCCCCUUCGGGGGACAAAGUGACAGGUGGUGCAUGGUUGUCGUCAGCUCGUGUCGUGAGAUGUUGGGUUAAGUCCCGCAACGAGCGCAACCCUUAAGCUUAGUUGCCAUCAUUAAGUUGGGCACUCUAAGUUGACUGCCGGUGACAAACCGGAGGAAGGUGGGGAUGACGUCAAAUCAUCAUGCCCCUUAUGAUUUGGGCUACACACGUGCUACAAUGGACAAUACAAAGGGCAGCGAAACCGCGAGGUCAAGCAAAUCCCAUAAAGUUGUUCUCAGUUCGGAUUGUAGUCUGCAACUCGACUACAUGAAGCUGGAAUCGCUAGUAAUCGUAGAUCAGCAUGCUACGGUGAAUACGUUCCCGGGUCUUGUACACACCGCCCGUCACACCACGAGAGUUUGUAACACCCGAAGCCGGUGGAGUAACCUUUUAGGAGCUAGCCGUCGAAGGUGGGACAAAUGAUUGGGGUGAAGUCGUAACAAGGUAGCCGUAUCGGAAGGUGCGGCUGGAUCACCUCCUUU